UGCAGUUGGAGACAGUGGGCAAAGGGGAAGGAGGUUGUGCAUGUGAGCUCCACAGACAGGCUUGGCUGCUGUGAGAAGGGAACUCAUGAUGACUCUCAGAGAAGCAGUGGCAGUGUCAGAGGGGGGAGUGUCAUAGACAGUGGGAAAGCAGAAGCACCAAGCCACAAAGAAAUAACCACAACCAAAAGUCAAGGGGCAGGACACUGCCUUCCAGACCCGAUGCCCAGGAUGUGCAGCGUCCUGGGAGAUAUUUAGAAAACUUUCAUGGGCAGAACUCGUGGCAACCUGUAAUGAAUGAAGACAGAGUGAAAGAAAUAACAUUAUCUUCAAAUUUACAGUUUCUUUUUUUAAAUUUUUUUUACAUUUUGUAUAUAUUUUAUAUUGUGAAGCUACUGGGGAGGAAGAUCCCAUUUUUUUUUUUUUUUAAAUAAAUUUUGAAUGAAGUGUUUUAUUUUUGCUCUCUAU